rnacentral:rRNA from 1 species
AGCAGCCGCGGUAAUUCCAGCUCCAAUAGCGUAUAUUAAAGUUGUUGCAGUUAAAAAGCUCGUAGUUGAAUUUUAGGCCUGGCCGGACGGUCCGUCUCUGGCGAGUACUGUUCUGUCGUCGGGUCUGUCCUUCUGGUGAGCCGGUAUGCUCUUAAUUGGGCGUGUCGGGGAACCAGGACCAUUACCUUGAAAAAUUAGAGUGUUUAAAGCAGGCUUUUGCUUGAAUAGAUUAGCAUGGAAUAAUAGAAUAGGACGUUGUGGUUCUAUUUUGUUGGUUCUAGGACCACCGUAAUGAUUAAUAGGGAUAGUUGGGGGCAUUAGUAUUCAAUUGUCAGAGGUGAAAUUCUUGGAUUUAUUGAAGACUAACUACUGCGAAAGCAUUUGCCAAGGAUGUUUUCAUUAAUCAAGAACGAAAGUUAGGGGAUCGAAGACGAUCAGAUACCGUCGUAGUCUUAACCAUAAACUAUGCCGACUAGGAAUCGGGCGACGUUAUUUUCACGACUCGCUCGGCGCCUUAUGG